CGUAUAUGAGUAUGUACAUACAAAUAUACGAGUAGUAUUUGUGUGCCUGCGCCAGGUCUCUCUCGACUGAUAAGCAGCAGUUUUGAAUAGACGAUGGUUAGGGAAGAGAUAACAGCUUCUUCCAUCAAGAUAAUGGUGAAAAGUGUGUCACGUUUGACAUUUGUUUGUGAUGAUUCUCUGUAUGCCUCUGUCUGGGCUGCAACUAUCUCUUCCCGGGGUGUCGUCUGAGUCUGCGUGUGUGGGAAGAAUACUCGUACUCGUACGUGAUCAAUGGGAAAUUGAUUUUAGCGUGUAAUUAUUAGAUAUGGCGUAUAGCGUACAGCCAUCGCCCACAGCAGACAAACGACGAACGACAAACGUGAGCUCCACACUGGCACUCGAGAAACAAGCAACCAGUUUCGGUCUAGUAGCAAGUCGCAGGUCCGUGGGCGUUUUCAUUAAGACGAAACAAGUGGCAACAGGUGGACUCGAGUGGACUCAAGUGGAUGUUGCCUUAUGGAGUCAAGCUGGCUAGCUGUCUGGCUGUAGCUUUUGGACUCUUGUCUCUGAUGUAAUGCAUAAUGCAUACACUGGUUAACAAUCAAUUGUGGAAUUAUGUACAUACUUUACUUGAAUAUAAUAUUUGUACUGCCGUUGUUUUCUUAUCGCGGCUAUUGUUGGUUCGUUGCACUGACUUUUCCUCGAUUUCCACUUAUCGAAAUACGAGUAUAUAAAGAACUAGCGAGGCGAGUCGAGUCGAGGCGCAUUAUCACCGGACUUCCGAUGUUUUCCAAAACUUUGAGAUGAAUCAUGAGGUUGAGAACCAGUUUGUUCGACAAAUGCGAUCCAAUGCGAUGGCAGCUAGAUGUAGAUGAUUCAGCUAAAACUUUACACAUUAUAGCAUUUGGAGUACAAAAACACGGGCGUUAAACGAGCGGAACGAAUAUGGCGCGACAAGUUUUUCAUUCACAAAACAUAGUUCGAACAAACGAACAAUCAAUAUCGAUGGAACAUGGAACGUGGGAGCGGAGCCCCAAGUUUCCAGUGGUGUCACAAUUCUUCUUUGCAUUCGCUUCUCUCUCCUCUCCUAAUCAAACAGCAAACAAUUUGGACAGCUUGCACUGUGGGGUUAAGUGGGACGCGUUCCACUUCCACUUUGGGUUUUGACACUUGACUUGCAACGCACUUGGAGAGAGAGAGAGGGAGAUAUGGGGAGAGAGAUGGAGACUGGGUGCUGUUGCUUUACCGUUGGCUUGGCUUGGCCACCUUUUUACAGUUUUACAGUUGUCAAUGUGUCGCUGCGGCGCACUAUAAAUUGAUUAUGCUGUUAAUUUAUUAGAUUUUUUUGGACAUCAAACUCGUUUUACAGUUCUUAGCUUAGACACACAAACACAGGCACAAACACACACUUUGCCAUAAUUGCUGGCCACCGCCUCGAAGCGAAGCACAGAACAGCGCCUCGGAAAACAAGUCCAAUUCACCUGUAGCUAUAAGAGCGUAGCAUAGAGUCGUCGCGUCACUUCUUGGCCAGGCGAGUGGAGCGAGUCGAGCAAGCCACCGACUUUACCACUUUACCACUUUGGUUGCUGUUGCUGCUGUUUACAGCGUUUACUCACACACGAAACAGCAUACACACGCACACACACACAUGCACAUGCACACCACUACGAUUUAUUUUCUUGUAUUACUUGUUUUUUAUGCUUGCUUCAGCUUCAGCUUCAUGUUGGGUUUUGUUUAUAUGUGUAUGCGUUGUUGUUGCAUGCGCAUAAAUUAUAGAGAGGAGGAAAAAACACACGUCUGUACACAAUAAAAACCUGUUUGUUGCUUUUAUAUGCCUUUGCGUCUCUCUGGGUGUGUACGAACAGGACGGGACGCUGUGCGGGGGUUGGGAUUAGGUUUGAUUUGUAUAUCGCCUGCUUUAAACACUUUUCCUAGCCAUCCUCCCACUAAAUUUGUAUCUUCUUUUCACUACACGCAUUUGAAAGGCAUUUGCAAAGCCUUUUAACUCACCAAAAUUCACAAAAACAUUUAAAUAAAUUAUCAAAUUAAGCGAAAACACGGAACACGAAAAAAUGUAUACACUUCACACUCUGACGGCCAUUUUUAAAA